rnacentral:rRNA from 1 species
GACGAACGCUGGCGGUAUGCUUAACACAUGCAAGUCGAACGGACUCUUCGGAGUUAGUGGCGGACGGGUGAGUAACGCGUGAGAAUCUGCCCUUGGGUUCGGGACAACUACCGGAAACGGUGGCUAAUACCGGAUGUGCCGAGAGGUAAAAGAGAAUUUGCCUGAAGAUGAGCGCGCGUCUGAUUAGGUAGUUGGUGAGGUAAAGGAUCCCCAAGGCAGCGAUCAGUAGCUGGUUUGAGGGGAUGAGCAGCCACACGGGGGCUGAGACACCGCCCAGACGCCUCCGGGGGGCAGCAGUGGGGAAUUUUACGAAAUGAGGGAACGCGUGACGGAGCAGUACCGCGUGGGGGAAGAAGGCUCGGGGGGUGUAAACCUCUUUUCUUAGGCGAGAAGAGAAUGACGGUACCUGGGGAAUAAGCACCGGCUAACUCCGUG